GGGAAUGUGGCUUUGUGGUAGAGUGCUUGCCUAGCAUGCAUGAAGCCCUGGGUUCGAUUCCUCAGUACCA
rfam:Dipodomys ordii contig_68704, whole genome shotgun sequence.